CUGGGACUGAAAAGAAGUUUACUUCUUCGAGUGCCUCAUGGAUGCAUAUUAAUUCCAAUCAACACGCCACGUCCAAACAACUCACGUCUGUAAAACUUAAGGAGAAGGAGUGACACCACACUGGCUAAGAUUUGGCUUGGAGACCGGCUUGGACACCUAACAGAUUUUAUGUCCUCAGUCAAGUUACCUAACCCCGGAAAGACUUUGUUUUCCCAUCUGUGAAAGAGGAUCAUAGUACCUACUUCUCAGCACAGCCACCUUGCACACGGUGCUGGUUGUCCAACACGGGGGACGUUGUUCGGGGCCCAUCCUACAGUUUGGUCACUCGCGCUAACUCACCGAUGGUGUCCUG